GAAACCUGAAGCUCUACAGUCUCCUCUUUAUAUGUUGCCUUUAUGGUCAUGAUCCUCUCAUUCUGCACUGGAUUUAUCUGCAGCAUAGGCUCCCAACAGAAUCCCUGGAACUUUCAAGGUGUUGAUUCUGAGUAGGCUCAAGAAGAACUUUGAUUGUAUUCUUCCUUUGUGACACCAUAUCAAACAUCAACUUCUGCAAGUCCACAUCAUUGGAUACUAAAAUGUAGUUAUUAUCUUCCUUUUGAUACUUGAUCUCAAAACUUCCAGUUGUCAAAUUUAACCUCUUUGUCACUUCUUUCUCAAAAUCCAUUAUCCCUGAAGAGAGAGAGAGUGGAAACUUAAUCAUGUCUUCCUUAAAUGAUGCCUUUAUCAUAAUUGUGCCUUCAUUUUCUGGUGCUGGUGGUGCCUUUAUACUCUCAUUGUGCACUGGAUUUAUCUGCAGCAUAGGGCUACCAACAGAACCCCUGGAACUUUCAAGGUGUUGAUUCUGAGUAGGCUCAAGAAGAACUUUGAUUGUAUUCUUCCUUUGUGACAUCAUAUCAAACAUCAACUUCUGCAAGUCCACAUCAUUGGAUACUAAAAUGCAGUUAUUAUCUUCCUUUUGAUACUUGAU
rnacentral:lncRNA from 1 species